UUUACUUAUUUGGUUUCUCCCUUUUCGUUCCACUCUCUCUAUUUUCUCAAAUUUUCUAUUUUCUUCCUCCUUGUGCCACCUCAUUAACCUAUUUUUAUCACCAUUGUUGUGCCCUCUCUCCUCCUCCAUUAGUGGCGUCAUUUUUCAUUGUUUCCCUCCGCUCUUUCACCCUUUGUUCAUUAUUUUUACUACUCUUCUUUGCCGCCCCAUUGCUGCCAUUUUUCUUGCGUUGCCACUUCUUUAGGCCCUAUUUUCUCAUCUUAUUUCAUUAUAUUUACUGCUAAUUUUUGCACUCCCUUUGGUUGAACCCCCCUUAGCCAUUGCUGGUGGUUUUCCGAUUCUAUGAUCGACAUACAUCACAGAUCUAUUAAUUGGGUGAAGUGACCAAAUUCAAACGUCUCAGAUCAUCUAUAACAUCAUAGGGUGUUCUGCAUCUCUUGUUUAACCAAAAUAGACUUAUCUGUAAUAUACUGACAAUUCAACUAUAUACUGUUACUGGUGGUUUAUCCACAACGAGCUUCGACUCUUACUAUUUCUGGUGUUCGGAUGAUGGGUUCAAGGGAACUCGUGGUGUGUAGCGAAUGGAUGGGUGCAUACAAGUGUGGGAAGCAAGAUCAAGGACUAACGGGAGAAAAACCAAGCAAAAAUGCAGAGAGUCGAAAGAGGAUGUGUGGGGCACAACUCAAAGCCCCAGCGCCCAAGCUUGGAUUGCACAACCCUUAGCAUGCGAACACAUGUGCUCUAUCACCCUGCCUUAAGCCCCAACGUUGUGCCCUGUUAAUUGCUUAGAUUACUUGCCUUGUUAAUUAAAAUAGUUAAAUCCAUAAAUGUUUUAUCGAUUCUAAUACUAGUGACGAAUAGCAUGGUUGUGUAUGUCAAAGUAUGCAAUUAAUGUUGUGUGGGUAUGCAAUCUAAUCUAAAUAAACUCCGCUAGUGUGCAUUUAUUGGUAAGAA